rnacentral:rRNA from 1 species
GGUGAACGCUGGCGGUAGGCCUAACACAUGCAAGUCGAACGGCAGCACAGUAAGAGCUUGCUCUUACGGGUGGCGAGUGGCGGACGGGUGAGGAAUACAUCGGAAUCUACUUUUUCGUGGGGGAUAACGUAGGGAAACUUACGCUAAUACCGCAUACGACCUACGGGUGAAAGCAGGGGAUCUUCGGACCUUGCGCGAUUGAAUGAGCCGAUGUCGGAUUAGCUAGUUGGCGGGGUAAAGGCCCACCAAGGCGACGAUCCGUAGCUGGUCUGAGAGGAUGAUCAGCCACACUGGAACUGAGACACGGUCCAGACUCCGACGGGAGGCAGCAGUGGGGAAUAUUGGACAAGGGGCGCAAGCCUGAUCCAGCCAUACCGCGGGGGUGAAGAAGGCCUUCGGGUUGUAAAGCCCUUUUGUUGGGAAAGAAAAGCAGCAGGUUAAUACCCCGCUGUUCGGACGGGACCCAAAGAAUAAGCACCGGCGAACUUCGG